UUGAAAAUUUUGAAAACGUCAACUUGCAGACUUGAAGAAUUUGAAGACUUCAACUUGCAGACUUGGAGAAUUUGAAGAAUUCAACU
rnacentral:pre_miRNA from 1 species